UACAGAGGGUGCGAGCGUUGUUCGGAAUUAUUGGGCGUAAAGGGCGCGUAGGCGGCUCUGCACGUCCGUCGUGAAAUCGCCCGGCUCAACUGGGCGGGGUCAGCGGAUACGGCGGAGCUUGAGCAAGCUAGGGGGCAAUGGAAUUCCCGGUGUAGUGGUGAAAUGCUUAGAUAUCGUCAAGAACACCGAUAGCGAAGGCAGCUUGCCAAGCAACAACUGACGCUCAGGCACGAAAGUGCGGGGAUCAAACAGG
rnacentral:rRNA from 1 species